GGGUUGUGAGGUUAAGCGACUAAGCGUACACGGUGGAUGCCCUGGCAGUCAGAGGCGAUGAAGGGCGUGCUAAUCUGCGAUAAGCGCCGGUAAGGUGAUAUGAACCGUUAUAACCGGCGAUACCCGAAUGGGGAAACCCAGUGUGAUUCGUCACACUAUCAUUAACUGAAUCCAUAGGUUAAUGAGGCGAACCGGGGGAACUGAAACAUCUAAGUACCCCGAGGAAAAGAAAUCAACCGAGAUUCCCCCAGUAGCGGCGAGCGAACGGGGAGGAGCCCAGAGCCUGAAUCAGCAUGUGUGUUAGUGGAAGCGUCUGGAAAGGCGCGCGAUACAGGGUGACAGCCCCGUACACAAAAGCGCAUGUGCUGUGAGCUCGAUGAGUAGGGCGGGACACGUGGUAUCCUGUCUGAAUAUGGGGGGACCAUCCUCCAAGGCUAAAUACUCCUGACUGACCGAUAGUGAACCAGUACCGUGAGGGAAAGGCGAAAAGAACCCCGGCGAGGGGAGUGAAAAAGAACCUGAAACCGUGUACGUACAAGCAGUGGGAGCACCCUUUGGGUGUGACUGCGUACCUUUUGUAUAAUGGGUCAGCGACUUAUAUUCUGUAGCAAGGUUAACCGAAUAGGGGAGCCGGAGGGAAACCGAGUCUUAAUUGGGCGUUAAGUUGCAGGGUAUAGACCCGAAACCCGGUGAUCUAGCCAUGGGCAGGUUGAAGGUUGGGUAACACUAACUGGAGGACCGAACCGACUAAUGUUGAAAAAUUAGCGGAUGACCUGUGGCUGGGGGUGAAAGGCCAAUCAAACCGGGAGAUAGCUGGUUCUCCCCGAAAGCUAUUUAGGUAGCGCCUCGUGAAUUCAUCUCCGGGGGUAGAGCACUGUUUCGGCUAGGGGGCCAUCCCGGCUUACCAACCCGAUGCAAACUGCGAAUACCGGAGAAUGUUAUCACGGGAGACACACGGCGGGUGCUAACGUCCGUCGUGAAGAGGGAAACAACCCAGACCGCCAGCUAAGGUCCCAAAGUCAUGGUUAAGUGGGAAACGAUGUGGGAAGGCCCAGACAGCCAGGAUGUUGGCUUAGAAGCAGCCAUCAUUUAAAGAAAGCGUAAUAGCUCACUGGUCGAGUCGGCCUGCGCGGAAGAUGUAACGGGGCUAAACCAUGCACCGAAGCUGCGGCAGCGACGCUUAUGCGUUGUUGGGUAGGGGAGCGUUCUGUAAGCCUGCGAAGGUGGCCUGUGAGGGUUGCUGGAGGUAUCAGAAGUGCGAAUGCUGACAUAAGUAACGAUAAAGCGGGUGAAAAGCCCGCUCGCCGGAAGACCAAGGGUUCCUGUCCAACGUUAAUCGGGGCAGGGUGAGUCGACCCCUAAGGCGAGGCCGAAAGGCGUAGUCGAUGGGAAACGGGUUAAUAUUCCCGUACUUGGUGUUACUGCGAAGGGGGGACGGAGAAGGCUAUGUUGGCCGGGCGACGGUUGUCCCGGUUUAAGCGUGUAGGUGUGUGUUCCAGGUAAAUCCGGUUCACUUUAACACUGAGGCGUGACGACGAGGCACUACGGUGCUGAAGCAACAAAUGCCCUGCUUCCAGGAAAAGCCUCUAAGCAUCAGGUAACAUCAAAUCGUACCCCAAACCGACACAGGUGGUCAGGUAGAGAAUACCAAGGCGCUUGAGAGAACUCGGGUGAAGGAACUAGGCAAAAUGGUGCCGUAACUUCGGGAGAAGGCACGCUGACACGUAGGUGAAGUGAUUUACUCAUGGAGCUGAAGUCAGUCGAAGAUACCAGCUGGCUGCAACUGUUUAUUAAAAACACAGCACUGUGCAAACACGAAAGUGGACGUAUACGGUGUGACGCCUGCCCGGUGCCGGAAGGUUAAUUGAUGGGGUCAGCGCAAGCGAAGCUCCUGAUCGAAGCCCCGGUAAACGGCGGCCGUAACUAUAACGGUCCUAAGGUAGCGAAAUUCCUUGUCGGGUAAGUUCCGACCUGCACGAAUGGCGUAAUGAUGGCCAGGCUGUCUCCACCCGAGACUCAGUGAAAUUGAACUCGCUGUGAAGAUGCAGUGUACCCGCGGCAAGACGGAAAGACCCCGUGAACCUUUACUAUAGCUUGACACUGAACAUUGAGCCUUGAUGUGUAGGAUAGGUGGGAGGCUUUGAAGUGUGGACGCCAGUCUGCAUGGAGCCGACCUUGAAAUACCACCCUUUAAUGUUUGAUGUUCUAACGUGGACCCGUUACCCGGGUUGCGGACAGUGUCUGGUGGGUAGUUUGACUGGGGCGGUCUCCUCCUAAAGAGUAACGGAGGAGCACGAAGGUUGGCUAAUCCUGGUCGGACAUCAGGAGGUUAGUGCAAUGGCAUAAGCCAGCUUGACUGCGAGCGUGACGGCGCGAGCAGGUGCGAAAGCAGGUCAUAGUGAUCCGGUGGUUCUGAAUGGAAGGGCCAUCGCUCAACGGAUAAAAGGUACUCCGGGGAUAACAGGCUGAUACCGCCCAAGAGUUCAUAUCGACGGCGGUGUUUGGCACCUCGAUGUCGGCUCAUCACAUCUGGGGCUGAAGUAGGUCCCAAGGGUAUGGCUGUUCGCCAUUUAAAGUGGUACGCGAGCUGGGUUUAGAACGUCGUGAGACAGUUCGGUCCCUAUCUGCCGUGGGCGCUGGAGAACUGAGGGGGGCUGCUCCUAGUACGAGAGGACCGGAGUGGACGCAUCACUGGUGUUCGGGUUGUCAUGCCAAUGGCACUGCCCGGUAGCUAAAUGCGGAAGAGAUAAGUGCUGAAAGCAUCUAAGCACGAAACUUGCCCCGAGAUGAGUUCUCCCUGAGACUUAAAGUCUCCUGAAGGAACGUUGAAGACGACGACGUUGAUAGGCCGGGUGUGUAAGCGCAGCGAUGCGUUGAGCUAACCGGUACUAAUGAACCGUGAGGCUUAACCUUACAACGCCGAAG
rnacentral:rRNA from 4 species